CAAGCCUGGGCAAUGGCGGGCGCCCCUCCCCCAGCCUCGCUGCCGCCUUGCAGUUUGAUCUCAGACUGCUGUGCUAGCAAUCAGCGAGACUCCCUGGGCAUAGGACCCUACGAGCCAGGUGCGGGAUAUAAUCUCGUGUUGCACCGUUUUUUAAGCCUGUCGGAAAAGCGCAGUAUUCUGGUGGGAGUGACCCGAUUUUCCAGGUGCCGUCCAUCACUCCUUUCUUUGACUCAGAAAGGGAACUCCCUGACCCCUUGCGCUUCCCAAGUGAGGCAAUGCCUCGCCCUGCUUCGGCUCGCGCACGGUGCACGCACCCACUGACCUGCGCCCACUGUCUGGCACUCCCUAGUGAGAUGAACCCGGUACCUCAGAUGGAAAUGCAGAAAUCACCCGUCUUCUGCGUCGCUCACGCUGGGAGCUGUAGACCGGAGCUGUUCCUAUUCGGCCAUCUUGGCUCCUCCCUCUGAAGGCUACAGACACUUAUUGAGCAUCUACUAGAUGCCAAAUUCUGUGCUGCUGCUACAAUCCAUUGAGACUUUAACACCCACAUGGAAUACGCAAUUGGGAGAGAGUGAAGGAGUACUGAAGGCAAACUCAGGGGCUACACUUCACAAAAAUAGGAGAUUUGGAAUUUACAAAGAAGAAGAGGAGAAAGAGGAGGAGGAGGGGAAGGAGGAAGAAAAAGAAGAGGAAAAAGAGUAACAACAACAUAAAGCCAUAAGUCAAAGAAGAGUGUAGGGUUGGAUGAUGUUUUUCAAACAUUUUUGCCUGUGACUUACACUAAGAAAUAUACAUCUACACAGUGACCAGCUAAUGCUCCUCCCAUAAUUCACACACAGAUGACUAAAACAGAAGUUUCACAGAACAAUAUUUAUCUUUCGUGAGGCACGCUGAUAUUUUCUUUUUAAUUUCUAUUCAUUUAUAUUAUUUUCUGUAUUUUUCACUUAAAGACAUGCCAGUUGUGGCCUACUGGAUUGAUUUUCCUGCCCCAGUUGAACACAGACAGGAAUAGAGGUCCUUCGUGCAUGCAUGUGGAUUGUGGUUACUGAAGGGUCACAGGAGACUGCACAGGAGGAGGGGACAACUCACGACAGCAGAGUGGGGGCCACAGAGCCAAGGGCAAGCACGGAGGCCCAGGAAGGAAGGAUGGAAAAGAUGGUGCUGAGAACCUGGAAGUGUCGUAUUGAGAACAGAAAACGUACAGGCCAUUGACUGAACAUUCUGCUUGUUAAUUACAUAUUUUGGGAUUUUGAAGAAAAAGACAAAAUGUGUAAGAAGCAGAUUAAAAUUAGAAACAUGAGCAAGAGUAGGUGGUGGGAAAGUUAAAUGUAAGGAAAUAAACUGUUCCAGGACUUUUUUUUUUUAAAGGCUUUUAUUUCAAGGUCAGAAAAAUGUCACGGAAGGAAAAAAAUUAUUAUUUAUUUAAAAAGAAAACUGAAAUGUAAAAGAUAUGACAGAACUCUUCGGGAGGUAGAGAGAGUGAGGAAGAAAAGUGAGUACAAAGCAGAGAGGAAGAAUAUUGUUGCAGAAAAUCAUUGGUUCUAAUUCCCAAUUUCUGCCCAGCAUUGAUGAGGGAGAGUCCAACAGAAAAUUUUAAGUACCUGUUUAAAGCAAUUUACAAGAUACUGUGGAGAUUCCCAGCAAUAAAGAAUGUACUAUAGUUAAGCUGGAAUCCAACUCCUGAAUUUCUGGAGCCCUGAAGACCACUUAGUCUUACUCACAAGAAUUGAAUGGAAUGUGAAUCUACACUCAGGUGAAGCCAGGGUAUUUUGAACGUCCCUACAAGACUGAAGCACCACUGGGAAAUAAGUAAUAGAGAUGCCAUCAUUGUGGAGGUCAUAAUGCUUGUCCUGAACACGAGGGGUCUCUAGUGAAAACAUUUGCUGACUGCUGUUCUAUCUAGGAUAUCAUCAGUGUGUAGAUGAUCAGAGUUCAUGUCAGUGUUCCUACAAGCCAAUGAAGAAAAACAGAGAUCUGUGUUCUGAAUGGAAAAAUUCCUACUGAUGCCACCCACUAGUCUGGAACAAGUCAGUCUCAAACAUAACAACAGACACUGGGGAGCUCUCCAACAAAAGAUCACCUCCCAAAGAACAGGAUGGUGUCGAAGACUGAAUGCCAGCCUGAGGAAACAGAAAUACUACAGAAGCACGCCAGAGCCUGCAGUGUCUCCUCGCUGCCUCUCAAUGAACUGCUAAAAGACCAAGAACUCUGCUGAGAGAUAAGAAGAGGGGAGGGUGUGCUGCAGGUGGUGCUGGGAGGCCCAGACCUUCUCCUGACAUCUGGGGCUGGCUACAGGAAACAGAAACAUCACCCAGGCCUUGGCGCGAGACAGGACAGAGGCAGAUUGUGACUCAGAUCUGCAGGUGGAAAGUGGGCCUUUCGUUUUCUCCUAGGGGUAGAGCAAAGCCAGAGGGCUCAGUCAGAGGAAACCUAAGGCAGUUCAUGAUCCCUUCAACUUUAUACCAUUUCCUCAAAACUGCCUCCAAACAGUGGGCAACUGGAAAGGUGGUCUGACCUCCAGUGAUCACACAGUAUGCAUUAUAACAGAAGGCUGUCACUGUCAAUUGCAUGGCUCCCUCACUAUGCAUUCCUUCUAUCAAUUUACGACAACACACUGUAGUGAGUACCUGCACAUUGCUGGGUAUUUUGGCAGACAUUGAUAGUAGAUGAAUAACACCUGGUACUUGACCUUGAGACGCUCACUGCCUAGUGUGGGGAACCAAUGGUUGCAAUAUAAAGUAUUAACUAGAGGGAUAGAGGACUGCCUGAGGAUCUCUGCACUCAGAGGAAGGGCCAUGAGAUCAGCCAGGACAGUAGGGAGGCAGUGACUCAUGAAAUUAGCAAGUGGUGAGAAGAGGGCAGUAGAUUCAGCGGCUGCUAAAAAAGGUUACUGAACUUUUUGUUUCAUCAAUGCCAAGAAAUUAAUCUGUUUUAGCCUCUUUCAUGGCCUCUGUUUGAAAUUUUUUAACUUUUUUUUUUUUUUUAGAUUUAGGGGUACAAGGACAGUUGUAUUGCAUGAGUAUAUCAUAUAGUGGUGAAGCCUGGGCUUUAAGUGCACCUAUCACCCGAAUAGCGUACAUUGUACCCACUAGGUAGUAUUUCAUUUCUCACCCUUCUUCCACCUUUUGGAAUCUCCAGUGUUUGUUGUUCUACUCUGUAUGCCCAUGUGUACUCAUUGUUUCACUCCCACUUAUAAGUGAGAACAUGUGCUUUUGACUUUCUGUUUCUGAGUUGUUUCACUUAGGAUAAUGCAUGUUCCUGUUUUGAUUCAGUCAAAAUCCUGGGGUCAGCACUGACAAUGUGAUUAACCCCUGUCCUAAAUUCACUGCAGAGGAACUGCUCCCAUAUGACUACUUAUUACCACCCAAGCCAGAAACCACAAAGAUAUUCUGACCUCUCCUCCUUCACUCCCCACCAACUGGUGAGUAAGCUAGUCACCAAGUCUUGAUUCUACUUGCAAACAUCUUUGGAAGGGAUCUCUCACUCCACACAGUCUCUGUCAUUGCCAAGUAUACCCAUUACCUCUGCUCUGUCCUACGGCUCAUCAUUCCUCAUCUACAUGCUGCACCAACCUCCUAACUCCCAUUCCUCCCCCUCCUAGUUCACUGCCAUAGCGUAAUCUUUCUAUAUCACGGAUCAUAUUGUGUCCGAAAUUGGUGGGUUCUUGGCCUCACUUACUUCAAGAAUGAAGCUGCAGACCCUCGUGGUGAGCGUUACAGUUCUUAAAGGUGAUGUGUCUGGAGUUUGUUCCUUCUGAUCAUGUUCGGAGUUUCUUCCUUCUGGUGGGUUCGUGGUCUCGUUGGCUUCAAGAGUGAAGCUGCAAACCUUCAAGGUGAGUGUUACAGCUCUUAAGGCAGCGCAUCUGGAGUUGUUUCUUCCUCC
rnacentral:lncRNA from 10 species